AGUGCCUGGCAGCACUGUGUUCCUGUUAGAGCCACCAGCACAAGCACCAGACGAUGCUGAUCCAGGUGAAGGCCCCAGUGCAGCAGCAACAGCACAUGAUGGAGACGAUGAUGAGGAGGAGACCAUCUCUCUGGAUUCCAGAAGGCAUGAGGUAUCAUGUUAAGACGGUGAAAGUACUAUUUACUCUACAAUGGUGAGGAGUCCUCAUCAAAAUCAAAAAAUCUAAUUUCUUUUACAGGACCCAGAUGCUAUACAGUGGGAAAACCAGCCUGGCAACAUAGUGCGUAUUAAUAAAAGGACACCACAUCCUGCCAAAUUCCAGCUGCGCUAAUUGUAUUGUGUUCACAGAGCUCACAAGCUAUCAGAAAGUUGUAUGGCAACCACCUCCGGCGCAAAUAGAACUGGCAGACAUAGACAUUCAGUACAAGAAGAAAAAGAUGGAAAAUCUUGCACUGGAGUCCGAAAUAAAAAAGAGGACAAUUAGGAAACUGGACCUUGAAAUAAAAAAACUUGAGAGGGAGCUCCAAGAAGAUGACACAGCUCAAAAUAAAAAUGAGCAAUCAGUACAACCAAGUCAUCGUUAUAAGGCAUCGCCCUCUCUUUUGCCCACCCCCAGCACCAGGUGUGGCCACUAGCCUAUAUGAAGGCCCAAAAUUGUGUGUUCCUUUCUGCUCUGACAAUGGCAUGCCCAUUCGUGCGAGAUGUGGUGGAUGAAGAAGCACUUGUGCUGAGGAGAGCCUUCAGGCGAGAAAGGGUCUUCAGGGACCGGUUGGACCCACUGGCCUUCCCUGAUGACCAUCUAUAUGAAAGAUACAGGUUUUCUGCAGAUGGCAUCAGGUAUCUAUGCAGACUACUGGGUCCCAGGAUUAAGCACCGCACUGCACGGAGCCAUGCACUGAGUGUGGAGCAAAUGGUUUGUGUGGCCUUGCGCUUUUUUGCUAGUGGAGCCUUCCUGUACUCAGUGGGGGAUGCAGAACAGCUGAACAAGGCCACAAUUUGCCGCACAAUAAGGAGUGUGUGUCUGGCUAUCAAAGCAUUAGCAGAUGUCUUCAUCUCCUUCCUGGCCACAGAAGACUCUGUG